GAUGAACGCUGGCGGCGUGCCUAAUACAUGCAAGUCGAGCGAACAGACGAGGAGCUUGCUCCUCUGACGUUAGCGGCGGACGGGUGAGUAACACGUGGAUAACCUACCUAUAAGACUGGGAUAACUUCGGGAAACCGGAGCUAAUACCGGAUAAUAAAUUGAACCGCAUGGUUCAAUAGUGAAAGACGGUUUUGCUGUCACUUAUAGAUGGAUCCGCGCCGCAUUAGCUAGUUGGUAAGGUAACGGCUUACCAAGGCAACGAUGCGUAGCCGACCUGAGAGGGUGAUCGGCCACACUGGAACUGAGACACGGUCCAGACUCCUACGGGAGGCAGCAGUAGGGAAUCUUCCGCAAUGGGCGAAAGCGUGACGGAGCAACGCCGCGUGAGUGAUGAAGGUCUUCGGAUCGUAAAACUCUGUUAUUAGGGAAGAACAAAUGUGUAAGUAACUAUGCACGUCUUGACGGUACCUAAUCAGAAAGCCACGGCUAACUACGUG
rnacentral:rRNA from 1 species